rnacentral:rRNA from 1 species
AGUGAACGCUGGCGGUAGGCCUAACACAUGCAAGUCGAACGGCAGCACAGUAAGAGCUUGCUCUUACGGGUGGCGAGUGGCGGACGGGUGAGGAAUACAUCGGAAUCUACUUUUUCGUGGGGGAUAACGUAGGGAAACUUACGCUAAUACCGCAUACGACCUACGGGUGAAAGCAGGGGAUCUUCGGACCUUGCGCGAUUGAAUGAGCCGAUGUCGGAUUAGCUAGUUGGCGGGGUAAAGGCCCACCAAGGCGACGAUCCGUAGCGGGUCUGAGAGGAUGAUCAGCCACACUGGAACUGAGAGACGGUCCAGACUCCUACGGGAGGCAGCAGUGGGGAAUAUUGGACAAUGGGCGCGAGCCUGAUCCAGCCAAACCGCGUGGGUGAAGAAGGCCUUCGGGUUGUAAAGCCCUUUUGUUGGGAAAGAAAAGCAGCAGGUUAAUACCCCGCUGUUCUGACGGUACCCAAAGAAUAAGCACCGGCUAACUUCGUG